rnacentral:tRNA from 1 species
GUCGGGAUAGCUCAGGUGGUAGAGAGGAGGA